ensembl:lncRNA novel transcript, antisense to PGM2L1
UACCAGGGAGUGAUAAAAGGCCAGCAACUACCUAGCGACAGAAGGAGGAAACACACCAGACCAGAACUAAAGCGGAUAGCGGUUAGAAACGCCCAGUAAGGGUGCCAGAAACCACUUUCAGAAAGAGGGAAGACAGCACUUGAAAGGAAAGAGGGUAAAGAAGAGGAAGGGAGGUUACAAUUGAGAGCACUGCAGAAGGAAGCGAUGCAGAUGUUGCCGCCCGGCUCUGGCAGUCCGAAGGAGCAACCCCACGCAUAGAGAUGGGGUUUCACCACGUUGGCCAGGCUCGUCUCAAACUCCCGACCUCAAGUGAUACGCUCGCCUUGGCCUCCCGUGGUGUUGGGAUUAUAGGCGUAAGCCACUGCACCCGGCCUGAAAUACUACCUUUAUUAUACAGCUAGUUCUAACACAUCUUGGUCUUUUUCUAGGUUCUUUGUUUUAUUACUUAUUUAGCUAUCUCUGCACCAAUACCACAUUGCUUCACAUAUUAC